GAUGUACUCCCUCCGUCCCAAAAUUCCUGUCUUAGAUUUGUCUAAAUACGGAUGUAUCAAGUCAUGUUUUAGUAUUAGAUACAUCCGUAUCUAGACUAAUCUAAGACAAGAAUUUUGGGACGGAGGGAGUACCUG
rnacentral:pre_miRNA from 1 species